rnacentral:lncRNA from 1 species
UCACAUUCUUGCAGGUUAACAUUCGUCUGUCUAGCUUUUAACGGGUUUUGUGAUGGUAUCUCUUCCUUUUCGUGUUUGAUAGUUUUCGGUGCUCUCUUCUGCAUCAUCCAAAUAAUAGUGUUAGCUUAUGCUUUAGUGCAACCUUUGAGAAUCAGAGAAGGUGCUUCAGAAGAUGAUAUCAAGUCACUUCCUAUGUAUAGGUUUAGUCAGCCAAAUGUAAUGAUUAUGGUUGAUAAGAACAAGAAGCAACUUGAUGAAGCAAGAAUUGGUUCGCACAAUCAAAGCCAUAUCAGUGAACUAUCUCUUCAUCCAGAUGAUUCUGUAAGUACAAACUGGGUCUUCUCUUAUCUCUCAAUCCUUAAUUCUUUAGUUUUUCUUUAGUUUUAAUAUCAAUGUAUUGUAACUUGUAAUUAACUUUAUGUAUGAAUUGGAUCUUUUCUCAAAAAAAAAAAUGUAUGAAUUGGAUCUAUAUAUGAUUGGACUAUAUGGUUAAUGAAUUGAAAAAUUGUUGCAAUCCUCAAUGUUAUCUUUGAUUUGUUCUUAAAUAUGCUUGUGUUUAUAAUUGAUUUCAAUAAAAUCCUAUCUAGAAAAUAUUCUCCCCAUUCAUCUAAUGUAUUUUAAACUUAUUUUUUUUGGAAGAGGGUUCAAUGUGAAUUUGGUAUGACCUGAAAAUUGCUUCCCGUGAUUCUUUGAUGCUUGUCAUACAGUUGAGAUACAUUAUGAAACUACAGAAAGAGACUAACCACUUCUGAUUAUGCUGUAGGAGUGUUGUAUAUGCCUCUGUUCAUAUGUUGAUGGAACAGAACUGUAUCGCCUUCCAUGUACCCACCAUUUUCAUUGCGAAUGCAUCAGUCGUUGGCUUCGGACAAAAGCAACUUGCCCACUCUGCAAAUUUAAUAUCCGAAGAGGUGAUAUAUUGGUUUGAUAUUUCGUUGAUAAAGACUAGAUAGCACUGAGGUGAAGUAUCACUUAAAUGGGACAUGACAGUGGAGAACCAAAAUAUUUGCUAAUCUGCUGACUAGUGUUGGUACAUAAGUUGAAAACAAGAAGGAAAUGCCCCACCCUCUCAUCUUUGUCUUUGAAUUCUAGUUUCCUUAGAGGUAAUUUAACUUUUUAACCAGUCUUGAGGGUUUACACCAUAAGUUGUACUUAUAAGGCAAAUUUAAUUUAUUUUUUUAUGCAAACUUACAAGGCAAUUAAAGAAACAAUUUUAUGUACAGUAAUAAUUUUUUUGACCACUUUCUCCAUCUCCACUCACAAUUAAAUUCAAAACUAUGUAUGAAAGUUACACUUCUCAAAUUUUAUUUUAUUUUUUCAACUGCCAUUGGCCGACGACGCUUAACCGCCAUUUGGCUCUCCAACGACAGUUAAGUGUCGUUCGACACUUUUAAGAUCGGUUUCACCACUUUUUAAGCCGAUUCAAAAAGUAGGUUGAACGGCGGUUAGCUAUCGUUAGAGGUAAAUGGAUAAUUUCGGGGUGUUUUGGAUUUUUUUUGGAAAUGAGAAGAGUAAUUUUCACUUUAUACACACCUUAUACUCGGUAAAUAGUGGGAUCACAAUGGAAAAUGAAGGACAAUUGGGCUACCAAUGUGGAAAAGUUUACUUGAGCUUAUCAUAUUGGGAAAAAUUCAAAUUCUAUAGUUAAAAUCUGUUUUUUUUUUUUUAAAAGUUAAUUAACAUUGUGAAUACCAACUACCAAGUGUCUCUUUUGUUUUGUUAUUUUAUUAGACUAAAUUUUUUUAGAAUCAGCAAAUUUUAUUCACACAAGCGUGUGCAAGAAACACAACAAAAACUCGCGGGCAGCACAAGAACAAUACGACAGACACUGAAAUACCAGAAACCCCACAAACAGCAACAAAAAGCUCCCACAACGCAUGACAGAAAGCCUGUAAGAAGCAAAAACCAGAAAACAAAAACUGCUAACAGAACAGCAGACCUGAGGCUAACAUAUACAAAACUGCAGUACACCAAACCGAAGCUCAUAUAUAAAACUUAAUUAACUUCUUAUGUAUGUUGUUUUAGUUCACGCGUGAUGCAUGUGAACAAUGAACUUAGUUAAAGUAGCAGGUAGAUGAAAAAGGAAGGAUAUAAUGAUUAAAAAUAUUAAAAGGCAUUAGAGGCAUUUUUGUCAAAAAGGGUGUACUAGAAAAAGUCCUAUUAUACUUCUUUGUGGCUCUUAUAUUAUUAUUUCUCUCUCUUUUUACCAUUUCUUUUCACAUCCUAACAUAAAUGGAGAGUUUGAAAUCCUAACAUGCAAAACGCUUUUGGAAAUGAAAAUGAUGAUCGGUGCAGGUGCAUAUUGCGCGUUAACCCGUAACCCCCUUCUGCUGCUAUCCCGCUCCUUCAACAUUUUUCCUAAACUCACCCCCCUUCAAAAAAGGGUCUACUAGAAAAACUCCUCUUUUCACAUCCUAACAAAAAUGGAGAGUUUGAAAUCCUAACAUGCAAACCCCUUUUGGAAACGAAAAUGAUGAUCACCGGUGCAUAUUGUGCGCUAACCCGUAACCCCCUUCUGCUAUCCCGCUCCUUCAACAUUUUUCCUAAACCCACCCCCCUUCAAUUUCCAACUACACCCUCUCCUUCGUUUCCUUCAUUUAACCGCUUUCCAUCUCUCUUCCCUCAACUGUGCAUCCGUCAUUCUCGCCUCUCCACCCUCCCUCAUAAUGACUCCGGCGGAUUUGGCGGUGAUAGUGGCUCUGGAGGAUGGGAUCCCGGCGACAAUGAUUCCGAUGACGGAGGCGGAAAAUGGUCAUUCUUGUCAUGGUAAACAAAAAAUAUUGCUUUGACUUUGUCCAUAAAGUUAGUUAGGGUGUGUUGGAAGAGUACCUUAAGAUAUACUCCCUCCGUCCUAAAAUAUAAGCAAAAACAAAUUUUGAACAAAAUACAUUAACUUUUAUUGACCAAAUUUUGCUUACAUGUUAGGACGGAGGACGGAGGGAGUAAGCAUUUUUAUAAUUCAGAGAACUUGUACAAUUUGUAUUUUUGGUAGAUUGAAGAAAUGACAAUAGCCAUUAGAAACUCACACACGUAUAAGUGCAGGAGCCGGAGUUCGAACUCUGGAGUCUGGAAUGAGCACAGUCAGCUUAUAAUAGUUUAGCCUACUCUAUCUAUAGAAGAUCAAACCCGUUGUCUCCACGCUCACUACCAAAAUGGGGUGGUGGAGAGGAAACUUAGACAAGUUGUUGAACUCGGACUCGUGUUUAUGUUUGAGUGAUUGAUGUUAUGGUGUUAUAUGAGAUAAAUGAUGGUUUUCUAAUGUCUUUAUUUGUUUCAGCAUUGCGAAGAAGACCGAGCCUAUGAAUACACUGGUAUUAUCUGCUUUCUUGGUUUUUGGAUUUUCUUGUAUUGUUGUUGGUGGUCAAGCUCUUGUGGAAGUUCCUUUUCUCCUCUUCGGGUAAGAACCAUAGCUUUGAUGUGUUGUUUCCUUUUUCAUUUCUUUGGAGGGAAGCUGGGCGGAUAAUAAAUUUUUGCGUGAAUGCCAAGAGAGAGUAGUCAAAGUAGUAUAGAUUUGUGAUACUGAGUAAGUAACCAUCAACAUCUUAAUUUAAUUUAUUCAAAAAAAUAAAAACAUCUUAAUUUAAGACAACUGUUUUAAAAAAGAACCGAAUUUCAACUAUUCCACGGUUCCUUCACUAAGCAAAAUAACCAGGGAGUAGAUAAUUGUAGAUUAUUCUGUCUUUGUUUAAAUCGGAUAUAUAAAGGAGUGUGGAAAUGAAGAGAAAAAUGAAUGGUUACAUUGCACCCACAAUUAGUCAUUGUUGAAGUGUUAUUUUAAGAAGCUCCGAUUCAGGUCUGACCCUUCCCUGCACCUUGACCUGAUGGAAGCUUAAUAGCAUUGUGGUGUUCUUUUUAUUUAUUUAUUUUCAUUAAGAAUACUCUUAGCUUUUGUUCUGUCCUUCAAUUGUUUUACUGGAAUUGAGGUGCAGUUGUACAAGGUCCUUCCUUUUCUUCAGGAAAUAAUAACAAUUUCUCAAUUCUCACAAGAUGUCCAGAUAAUUUACAUUUGUCUUGCAGUUAAAGUAUUUUCAACCGUGAUUGAUGAACUCUGUUGAAUAGUUUGGCUUUUGUUUGGGACUAACAGGCUUCAAAUUGUUGAAAUAUUAUAACCUAAAACUUCAACUGAAAAUUCGGAGUUGCCUUUUCCAUGAAAUGGUGCAUAGGAAAAUGCUUGUAUUUCUUGGCCAAGAUAAAUUUUGAAGUAGGCUCUAGUGGAAGUGUGGUUACCAUGACUAUUUCAAACAAGACCUGUCCAACGCUUAAGCUUGGCCUGAUUUAAUUGGAAUUUGACCUGUUGUUGAACCUAGUUGUUCAGAGUCUGAAAGACUAAGGCUCUGUCAAAAGGCUGAGCUUAACCCAGAAUAGAUAAUAUAAUUUUUUUUGGUAUUUCACCGAUUCAUUACUUGUUUACUUCAUCCUCUAACAUCAUAUGCUCUUAUUUGACAUAAUUAUUCGCUCUUUUGUUACCUAAAAUUUAUUGGAUAUAUCAAACAAUGUUUUUAUCACAUUCUUGCAGGUUAACAAUGGUCUGUCUAUCCCUUAACGAGUUUUUUGAUGCUGUCUUUUCCUUUUGGAUAUAUUUGAUAGUUUUCGGUGCUCUCUUCUGCAUUGUCCAAAUAAUAGCGUUAGCUUAUGCUUUAACGCAACCUUUAAGAAUCAGAGAAGGUGCUUCAGAAGAUGAUAUCAAGUCACUUCCUAUGUAUAGGUUUUGUCAGCCAAAUGUAAUGAUUAUGGUUGAUAAGAACAAGACACAACUGGAAGCAAGAACUGGUUCCCACAAUCGUAGCC